CGGUAAUACGGAGGGUCCGAGCGUUAAUCGGAAUUACUGGGCGUAAAGCGUACGCAGGCGGUUUGUUAAGCGAGAUGUGAAAGCCCCGGGCUCAACCUGGGAACUGCAUUUCGAACUGACAAACUAGAGUUUUGUAGAGGGUGGUAGAAUUUCAGGUGUAGCGGUGAAAUGCGUAGAGAUCUGAAGGAAUACCAGUGGCGAAGGCGGCCACCUGGACAAUAACUGACGCUCAUGUACGAAAGCGUGGGGAGCAAACGGGAUUAGAUACCCCGGUAGUCCACGCCGUAAACGAUGUCAACUAGCCGACUGAAUCCUUGAGAUUUGGGUGGCGCAGCUAACGCAUUAAGUUGACCGCCUGGGGAGUACGGCCGCAAGGUUAAAACUCAAAUGAAUUGACGGGGGCCCGCACAAGCGGUGGAGCAUGUGGUUUAAUUCGAUGCAACGCGAAGAACCUUACCUACUCUUGACAUCCACAGAACUUUUCAGAGAUGAAUUGGUGCCUUCGGGAACUGUGAGACAGGUGCUGCAUGGCUGUCGUCAGCUCGUGUUGUGAAAUGUUGGGUUAAGUCCCGCAACGAGCGCAACCCCUAUCCUUAGUUGCCAGCACGUAAUGGUGGGAACUCUAGGGAGACUGCCGGUGAUAAACCGGAGGAAGGUGGGGACGACGUCAAGUCAUCAUGGCCCUUACGAGUAGGGCUACACACGUGCUACAAUGGCGCAUACAAAGGGUUGCGAAGCCGCGAGGUUGAGCCAAUCCCAAAAAGUGCGUCGUAGUCCGGAUUGGAGUCUGCAACUCGACUCCAUGAAGUCGGAAUCGCUAGUAAUCGUAGAUCAGAAUGCUACGGUGAAUACGUUCCCGGG
rnacentral:rRNA from 1 species